rnacentral:rRNA from 1 species
GACGAACGCUGGUGGCGUGCUUAACACAUGCAAGUCGAACGGAAAGGCCCUGCUUUUGUGGGGUGCUCGAGUGGCGAACGGGUGAGUAACACGUGAGUAACCUGCCCUUGACUUUGGGAUAACUUCAGGAAACUGGGGCUAAUACCGGAUAGGAGCUCCUGCUGCAUGGUGGGGGCUGGAAAGUUUCGGCGGUUGGGGAUGGACUCGCGGCUUAUCAGCUUGUUGGUGGGGUAGUGGCUUACCAAGGCUUUGACGGGUAGCCGGCCUGAGAGGGUGACCGGCCACAUUGGGACUGAGAUACGGCCCAGACUCCUACGGGAGGCAGCAGUGGGGAAUAUUGCACAAUGGGCGGAAGCCUGAUGCAGCAACGCCGCGUGCGGGAUGACGGCCUUCGGGUUGUAAACCGCUUUCGCCUGUGACGAAGCGUGAGUGACGGUAAUGGGUAAAGAGGCACCGGCUAACUACGUG